AUCUCUUUCUCAAGAUCCCUCUUUUGUGAAGCUUUUCAUUGCAAGCUUAAAUCUCCAGAUAUGGUGGUAACAGAACAAACACAGCCAUUGGGUGCAGGUUGUGAUAAAGACCAAAUUCUGCAGAGCUUUGUACACGUGGGUCUGGAUUCUGCAAAACUGCUUUGGGAAGCUUUGAAGGCAAGUACAAAAGAACAAUACUGCUGCUCCCUAGUGCUAUGAUCUGCAAGGAAUGAAGGCCAAGAGAAACAACUUUCAUGAGGUGGGAAAUGGUUUGAAAGGUUUCAGCAACAGUCUUGAGAAUGAUCUGCAGAAGUACAGAAAGACUUUCUUCUCACAGAGAAAUGAAGCAUGCUGAAUGUAUCCUUUUGCAACCGUCACAUGAGGUGGAAUCAAGUCUCUAAAUGUGCAGGGGACUGGCAAAGUAGCUGGAGAAAUAAAUCUGAAACUGUUAAAUUAUUUAGUGAUCGCUCUGAACUCAAGGUGAUCUCCAUUAGUAUGGAAGAAGUUCUUAUAUAUUACUGGAGAAAUUCUUUGACUCACAAACUCUCAGGUAUACUCUGAGACAAAAAAAAAAAAAAACCAACAGGAUUCAUUAUUUCAGUCUCCCAAUUUAAUUAGAUGAGAGAAAUGUCUGUGGCUGAAAGCAGUUACUUGCAUUUUGUAAAUUUUUCAUUGCUUUUUACUUCGAGCCAUGUACAAAAAUAGUAAUUUGCUCUUGCAGAAACUGUCACUAUACCUGGAAUUUACAAUGAGCAAUACUUGCAAUAACUUAAUCAGAGAAAAUAAGUAAAAUUCAUGUGUUUCUUACCUUGCCUUGAGCAUGAUGGCUCAGCUUCAGAUGAAUGUACAGCUACAGGACUCUGAAGUGAGACAAAAUCUCUUCCUAGCGCUAGUUGUACUGAGUCUUUUUAAACCUUAGUUUAAUAUUAGUUUAAAAGUGAGAAUUGUUCUCUACAAACCAAUUCCUAAGAAAAUAAAGCAGUGUCUUUUAAUUAUUUUCAUUAAAAUGUGUUCUCAUUUUACGGAUCCAGUCUGAUAUCCUGCAUGCCUUGGAAGCUUACUAUUAUACAAGAGUGUCAUCUAGUGAAUUACUUGAAUGAAGGACACAAAACCAAAUGC
rnacentral:lncRNA from 7 species